AGUGGCGGACGGGUGAGUAACGCGUGGGUAACCUGCCUUAAAUACAGGGGGAUAACAGCUGGAAACGACUGCUAAUACCCCAUAAGCGCACGGCACCGCAUGAUGCAGUGUGAAAAGAUUUAUCGGUAUAAGAUCGGACCCGCGUCUGAUUAGUUAGUUGGCGGGGUAACGGCCCACCAAGACCGCGAUCAGUAGCCGACUUGAGAGAGUGAUCGGCCACAUUGGGACUGAGACACGGCCCAGACUCCUACGGGAGGCAGCAGUAGGGAAUAUUGCACAAUGGGGGAAACCCUGAUGCAGCGAACCGCCGCGUGAGUGAUUGAAGUAUUUCGGUAUGUAAAGCUCUAUCAGCAGGGAAGAUAAUGACGGUACCUGACUAAGAAGCCCCGGCUAACUACGUGCCAGCCGCAGC
rnacentral:rRNA from 1 species